AUGAUUGGGAAACUGAAUCUGCAGGAGACAGAGGAGGAUGAUCUGGACUUCGAUGAGGAGUUUGCGGAUGAGAUUGAGGAGGCGGAGUUCAGGGCGCUGGCAACGGUGCAUACGGAUAAGCCCUUCAGUAGGAGUUCUUUCUAUGAGACGAUGAGACUUGCAUGGAGCUUAGCACAGGGAGUUAACUUUAAACCACUGGGUGAAAACCUAUUCUCCUUAACAGUUAAUUGCAUGGGAGAUUGGAAGAGGGUCACAGAGGAGGGGCCUUGGUUGUUUCGUGACCAUGGUGUGCUCAUUGAGAAGUACGACGGAUAUUCUCAAUAUGAUGAAGUGGUGUUGGAUAAGCUUGCAGUAUGGAUACAGAUCAUGGAUCUUCCUCCACUCUACAGGAGGGAAAAUGUCGUGCGAUCGCUGGCAAAGAAAGUAGGGAUUGUGGAGAAGGUAAUGUUAAACCCUAGAUGGGGCGAGGGAAGGAUUGUGAGGAUAAAUGUUAAGCUUGACAUCCAUGAGCCUCUGAUGCGAUAUGUCUCUAUCACAGAAGAUAAGAAGCAGGUUUACUACUCGGUCCUCUAUGAGAAGAUGCCGGUAUUCUGCUAUGUGUGCGGGCAUAUGGGCCACACCUAUCUUGAGCAUGGUAAUGGGAAGCAUGAUCCGAGGACUAUGGAGUGA
rnacentral:rRNA from 1 species